rnacentral:rRNA from 1 species
ACGGGUGAGUAAUGUCUGGGAAACUGCCCGAUGGAGGGGGAUAACUACUGGAAACGGUAGCUAAUACCGCAUAACGUCUUCGGACCAAAGUGGGGGACCUUCGGGCCUCACACCAUCGGAUGUGCCCAGAUGGGAUUAGCUAGUAGGUGGGGUAACGGCUCACCUAGGCGACGAUCCCUAGCUGGUCUGAGAGGAUGACCAGCCAGACUGGAACUGAGACACGGUCCAGACUCCUACGGGAGGCAGCAGUGGGGAAUAUUGCACAAUGGGCGCAAGCCUGAUGCAGCCAUGCCGCGUGUAUGAAGAAGGCCUUCGGGUUGUAAAGUACUUUCAGCGGGGAGGAAGGCGAUGCGGUUAAUAACCGCGUCGAUUGACGUUACCCGCAGAAGAAGCACCGGCUAACUCCGUGCCAGCAGCCGCGGUAAUACGGAGGGUGCAAGCGUUAAUCGGAAUUACUGGGCGUAAAGCGCACGCAGGCGGUCUGUCAAGUCGGAUGUGAAAUCCCCGGGCUUAACCUGGGAACUGCAUUCGAAACUGGCAGGCUUGAGUCUCGUAGAGGGGGGUAGAAUUCCAGGUGUAGC